rnacentral:rRNA from 1 species
GACGAACGCUGGCGGCGUGCUUAACACAUGCAAGUCGAACGGAAAGGCCCUGCUUUUGUGGGGUGCUCGAGUUGCGAACGGGUGAGUAACACGUGAGUAACCUGCCCUUGACUUUGGGAUAACUUCAGGAAACUGGGGCUAAUACCGGAUAGGAUCUCCUGCUUCAUGGUGGGGGUUGGAAAGUUUCGGCGGUUGGGGAUGGACUCGCGGCUUAUCAGCUUGUUGGUGGGGUAGUGGCUUACCAAGGCUUUGACGGGUAGCCGGCCUGAGAGGGUGACCGGACACAUUGGGACUGAGAUACGGCACAGACUCGUACGGGAGGCAGCAGUGGGGAAUAUUGCACAAUGGGCGGAGGCAUGAUGCAGCAACGCCGCGUGCGGGAUGACGGCAUUCGGGUUGUAAAGCGCUUUCGCCUGUGACGAAGCGUGAGUGACGGUAAUGGGUAAAGAAGCACCGGCUAACUACGUG